rnacentral:lncRNA from 1 species
AUGGAACCAAAGUGGGCACCAUCAUUGGGUGACUUCUUGCUUCGGGCUGGCUACCCUGUAGAAAAUGCCCCCAGCCUUUGCUUUCAGACGUCCUCCUUUUCUGGUGAGGGGCCCCAAGGCUCUUGUAAACCAUCAGCCCCUCUUGCUCACACCCAACGGCCAAAGUCUGGGUGUGCGGGCGGUGUCAACCCCUGCCCAGGAUUCAGAGGCCCCUGUGCCAUUGCUCAGACUCCAACAACAGAGCAAGUGGUUUCUCCUUUCCCUGUGAUUUUGCUCCUCUGCGGAUCGGUUUAUUUUAUUUUCAUUUUGUGUCUCUCCCAUUCCUGCCAAAGGUCGGGGGGAGGUAUUUCACCUGGUGAAGACAUCUCCUUAGCGGCUGAUGAUGUCGCCUGUCACUCGAGUUUCAAGAAGGCUGUAACCUACAGGCAAUGCGAUGCUGUGCUUAAAGCAGGACCUUCCCGAGCCCUACAUGUUCUGACUUUUGUAGUCGCCACCACACAAAACAUCAGAUUUGGAACCAACAACUGUUUUUCUACCUGGGUGUCAUGCAUUUUUCUAGAUUCCCAAGAAGCUCUUACCUCUGGGAUUUCAUUGUACUGGUAAGAUUCUUGUACAAUAGUAAUUCUCAAAUACUCUGGCUUCAGGAAUGUUUUUACUUUUAAAAAUUAUUGAGGACCCCAAAGAACCUUUUUAUUUUUUUAUUUUUUAGUGUAGGUUGUAUCUACUAAUAUUUAUUGUAUUAGAAAUUACAACUGAGACAUUGAAAAAUCAUUUAACCUACUAAUUUAUUUUAAAAUAACAAUAAUGAACUGAUUAGAAGUUACAUAAUUAACAUUUUUUGUGAUAAUCGAAAAAAUUUCAGUGGGGAAAGUGACAUUUUUUGCAAAUCUCUUUAAUGUGUGACUUAAUGGAAGACAGAUUCUUAUAACCUCUUCUGCAUUCAAUGUGUUGCCAUAUGUUGUUUUGCUUGCAGUAUAAAAAAAACCAUUUAGCCUCUUGUGGAUAUGUAGUUGUAAAAGGAAAAGGUACUUUAAUAGACUUUUUUGAUACUAAAUCAAAACUUGGCUGCCAGUUUCUUAAAAGAGUUGAUUGUAAUAUGGAAUCUGAAAACAUAUUAAUGAAAUUUUCAUACUAUGUUACCCUAAGAUCCAUUGGCUAUUUUGUGCUUAAAUCGGUGUUUUGCCUGUGUGUGAUUUUGCAACAUGGCGUAUUGGGCGUUUGGAAAAUACUGAUUUACUGAAUUAUGCAGUUCAUCCAGGUUUUGACACAUUUCUUUAUACAACAUCAAAAUAUCACUUUCAUUAAUGCCACCACAGAUCUCAUCUGAAAAGCUUUAGGUAUUGAGAAGCUGGGAAGUUAUCGAUGGCGUAUAUAUUUUCCAAAAUUCUAAUUUCCAUGCAGAAGCUUGAACAUUACCACUGGCAACAGAUACUGUCAGUUGUUUCCCUUUGCAUAACAGGCUCAUUUACUUAAUUUUUGAGGUCACAUCUCCCCAUUACUCAGGUCUGAGUGCCCAUAGUUUUAUAAUUCGUUCUUUCAGGCACAAAUGGUAAUCCGUGAAAAAAAUUCAAUUCCAACAAUGGAGCGGGUGCCUUUCCUUGAAACAACCAUGGUACUUGGACAUGUGUAGAAGUGCACUAUGCGAUCUUCCCAUUUGCCCAUGCAGAGAGAGUCUUUUUUUUUUUUUUUUUUGAGAGAGAAAGAGAGUGUGUGUGCCUGCGCAUGCAGUGUAGGGCGUGGGUAGGGGUGGAGAGAGAAUCCCAAGCAGGCUCCACACUCAUCCGGGGACCCAAUGUGAGGCUCCAUCUCACCACCCUGAGAUCAUGACCUUAGCUGAACUCAAGUCAGAUGCUGAACCAAAUGAGCCACCCAGGUGCCCCAAGGGCUCUCUUUCCUACUGAGACUUGCAUAUGAGUACCUCUUCUUCUUUUUCAUAGUCACCCUUGGGCCGAGGCUGCUGCUGCUCCUGUGGACUCUGGGAAAGGGCCUCCUCCACGAAUUCCCACUUGUUCCAUGGCCCACCCCUGACUCCCCAGCUCUCACAGUCUAGCUUAGACACCCUGACGAGGUGGAGGAUGUAAUUACACCUUGAAACACUCUGUGCACUGGUGACCCAGCUCCUUGCAUGUGUGACUCAAGCCCCAAGAGGUCAGUGAAAUCUAAUCAUUCCUGUGUCCAGAUAAGCUGGAAGUAGGACCCUCGAGGUCCAGGGUCUAGUUGCUUUUAGCACACAGCAUUUUUUUUUUUUUAACUUGAAACCAGUUUCUAGAGUUGAGUUCAGUUUCAAGCAACGAAUGGGUCUUGUGCACUGCGCUCUCCCCACCACACUGUGCCCGUCAUGGUGCUGCUGGUUCUCUGGGUCUCAUGCUCCUUCCUGCUUUCCUCGGCCUUGCUCUGUGCCUGGGGGGGUGACCUUUACUGCCAGUGUCCCCAGCCCCUUGCCCUCUGGCCUCCUGGCUAGGGCAGGCGCAGUGGAGAUGAGCCGGUCGAGGAGGAGCAGCCCCCAGCCCCCCGAGCUGGUUCCCUUGGGCCACAGCUUCUGUCUGGUGGCUCCUCUUCCACGCUGCCAGCCAGCGAUCACUCUCGCCACACUCACGCCAUCUUCUCCCCUGGCCCCUCUAGGGUGGUGAUGUGACGCCUGUCGCUGGGCCCAGUCCCUGGCAACCCCCAACCCUGCCACCUUGUGUCCUGCCCCCCACAUCUCAGAGCCGUCCUUCCCUGGGCCCUUCCCAGUUCAGCCCGUGGCUGCACCUGUUCUCUGGCCGACCCCGGGCUGGCACGAGCGGGACCCUGCCCCCGAGGGGCUCGCCGUCUCCUAGGCUUAUUGCCCCAGACAGUCGCCACUGUGUGCCGGGUCACAGCUCCCCCACCCAAGAGCAGCUCGACCACUAGCGCACAACUAGUACGCCACCUUAAUUCAGGUAAAAAAAGAAGCUUUUAUCACCAGCUAAAUAGAAAAUGCAUGUCCUUGCCCAAAAUAGAAGACAAGGGUAAAAACACAACAAUUUUGGUAAACUCUAGCCCAGGGUUGGUGACUGCGGUUAAGGGCAUAGUCUGCUUAGGUUGGAAUCCUGGUUCUCCCACUUCUCAACUAUAUGACUAUGAUGAGGGCUUCUCUGUGCCUCAGUUUCUCCAUUUGUGAACUGAAAAUCACGAUUCUAUCUACUUCAUAAAGCUACGGGAUUCGUGGAGGUAAUUCACGCGAGCAUCUGUAAAGCUCACAGAUGACCCUGGCAGGCUCACACCACGGGAAUUUAAGGCCCCAAGGUGUGACGGUGAUGAAGAUGGGCGGUGGUGGGGUUACCUGACCCGGGCUCUGACUCGGAGGAUUCUUAGCGAGGGGGUGAAGUCACGUCGGCCCCAGACUGAGGCUUGCUUCCUGCUGUAAAGGGGGUUGGAAAGAACUGAAAGCGAGGACUGUUUCACCUGUGGUUCGAUGCCGAUUCUCUGUGCACCAUCCGGAUUUACUGAUGCCUCGGGAACAUCUUACACUUUAGGAAACACGGGCAGGGAAUCAAAUAACUGUUCCGUCACAGCAAACAUAAGCAACAGGUCAGAGGCAGCACGGAGACGCGAGGCACAGCCUUGGGGGUGCGGGUCUGCGGGGGAAGCCGUUGACCAGGCCUAUGAGAGGCUGAGUCGGGGUUGCAGAGUGCAGGUGAGAGCGUCUCCGGGGAAGGGGGACGAGCCUGCCUGCAGCAGAUGCACGACCUCGCAAGGCUGUUCAGGAAAGGCCGUGCUCACAGAGGACUGGCGACUCCCUAACAAAAAGCGGCAGCAAUGGCUUGGGAAGAGCUGCCUAGGGAAGCGGGUCUCAACAGGUGGUUCCCGGAGCUGCAGCAUCAACAGGAGUUAGGAACCCGUUAGAAAUGCGCAUUCCGGGGAUCCCUGGAUGCUCGGUGGUUUGGCUCACCUUUGGCCCAAGGCCUGAUCCUGGAGUCCGGGAUUGAGUCUGGCGUCGGGCUCCCUGCAUGGAGCCUGCUUCUCCCUCGGCCUGUGUCUCUGCCUCUCUCUCUAUAUAUGUAUCAUGAAUAAAUAAAUAAAAUCUUAAAAAAAAUCACAUUCCCCAGGGUCCCCAGCCUUUGGGGUCAGGAACUCGGGGGACAGGGCCCUCCCAACCGACCCUGAGCCUUAUGCACGUAGAGCUUGGCCGCCGCGGGCCCGGAGGAAGGGGGGAGAGUAGAGGCCGUAACGGAGGAUGAGGUUUUGCGGUAAUGGGGGGCCCUUUCAGGCGGCAGGUGUUGCGCGGGCACGCGGCGCUCUGUGUCCUGCGACCCUCACAUCGGCCCCACAGCUGGAUACCCUGUAGUGGGGGUUUGUAAAGCAGCGCACGGGAGCUGGAGCUGGAGCUGGAGCUGGAGCUCGCUAACCGUUCCCUAGUGACACGGGUGCGACUACUGUCACCAGGGAAUGGAGUGUUGAGCUUUAUUAAUUUU